rnacentral:rRNA from 1 species
GACGAACGCUGGCGGCGUGCCUAAUACAUGCAAGUAGAACGCUGAAGAGAGGAGCUUGCUCUUCUUGGAUGAGUUGCGAACGGGUGAGUAACGCGUAGGUAACCUGCCUUGUAGCGGGGGAUAACUAUUGGAAACGAUAGCUAAUACCGCAUAACAAUGGAUGACACAUGUCAUUUAUUUGAAAGGGGCAAUUGCUCCACUACAAGAUGGACCUGCGUUGUAUUAGCUAGUAGGUGAGGUAAUGGCUCACCUAGGCGACGAUACAUAGCCGACCUGAGAGGGUGAUCCGCCAACCUGGGAAUGGGACACGGCCCAGACUCCCACGGGAGGCAGCAGUAGGGAAUCUUCGGCAAUGGGGGCAACCCUGACCGAGCAACGCCGCGUGAGUGAAGAAGGUUUUCGGAUCGUAAAGCUCUGUUGUAAGUCAAGAACGGGUGUGAGAGUGGAAAGUUCACACUGUGACGGUAGCUUACCAGAAAGGGACGGCUAACUACGUG